rnacentral:misc_RNA from 1 species
AUUCGGAAGAAAAAAGGAAUGGCUGUUGGCAGUAACUGCAUUUCCCUGUCUUCCGUUUUCUCAUGCCCAUAUGAAAACGAAGUGCUCUUGAUAGGAAAGAAACCCACUUGCAAAUUCUUGCUUUCCAAGAAUUUCUUCAAAAUGGGUAGGAUCAAUUGUAAGCUAUCAGAUAGUGGAAUCCAAAAAAAACCUGCUACAAAAGAUGUGUCAUUGAACUCAAGGAACAGGAUGGAAGAGUACAAUAUAGCCAUGAAAAGGAUGAUGAGGAACCCAUAUGAGUACCACCAUGAUCUUGGUAUGAACUACACACUGAUAACCAAUAGUUUGAUCGUGGGCUCCCAGCCUCAGAAACCUGAAGACAUCGAUCAUCUGAAACAUGAAGAGAAUGUGGCGUACAUUCUAAAUUUGCAGCAGGACAAGGACAUUGAGUAUUGGGGCAUUAACUUGCAGGCUAUAAUAAAAAGAUGCCAAGAACUUGGAAUUCGUCAUAUGAGGCGGCCUGCCAAAGAUUUUGAUCCAGAUUCCUUGAGAAGUAUGUUACCCAAGGCUGUUUCAUCAUUGGAGUGGGCCAUUUCUGAGGGGAAAGGCAGAGUGUACGUGCACUGCACUGCUGGACUGGGAAGGGCCCCUGCUGUUGCAAUUGCUUACUUGUUCUGGUUUCAGGACAUGAAUCUGAACGCAGCAUAUGAUAAACUAACUUCAAAGCGACCUUGUGGACCCAAUAAGAGAUCAAUACGAGGAGCAACAUAUGAUCUUGCCAAGAAUGAUCCAUGGAAGGAGCCGUUUGAUAAUCUCCCAGAACAUGCUUUUGAAGAUAUAGCAGAUUGGGAGAGGAACUUGAUUCAUGCACGUGUUCAUUCUCUUCGUGGAACUUGAACAUUUAGUAUUUUUUGGACUUUCGCAUCAGCUGCAAGUUAUCUUAGGCACC